GAUGAACGCUAGCGGCAGGCCUAAUACAUGCAAGUCGGACGGGAUUUGGGAGCUUGCUCCUGAUGAGAGUGGCGCACGGGUGCGUAACACGUAUGUAACCUACCUUGUUCAGGGGGAUAGCCUCUCGAAAGAGAGAUUAAGACCGCAUAACAUAAUAGAAUGGCAUCAUUUUAUUAUCAAAUAUUUAUAGGAACAAGAUGGGCAUGCGGAACAUUAGCUAGUUGGUAAGGUAACGGCUUACCAAGGCUACGAUGUUUAGGGGAUCUGAGAGGAUUACCCCCCACACUGGUACUGAGACACGGACCAGACUCCUACGGGAGGCAGCAGUAAGGAAUAUUGGUCAAUGGACGGAAGUCUGAACCAGCCAUGCCGCGUGCAGGAAGACGGCCCUACGGGUUGUAAACUGCUUUUAUACGGGAAUAAACCUCGAUACGUGUAUCGAGCUGAAUGUACUGUAAGAAUAAGGAUCGGCUAACUCCGUGCCAGCCGCCGCGGUAAUAC
rnacentral:rRNA from 1 species